rnacentral:rRNA from 1 species
AGUUGGUGGAGUGAUUUGUCUGGUUAAUUCCGUUAACGAACGAGACCUCAGCCUGCUAAAUAGUUAAAUCUUGUUUUUAUAAGAUUUUAACUUCUUAGAGGGACUACGUGACCUACAAGCGCGAGGAAGCUUGAGGCAAUAACAGG